rnacentral:rRNA from 1 species
AUAACUAUUGGAAACGAUAGCUAAUACCGCAUAACAGCAUUUAACCCAUGUUNGAUGCUUGAAAGGAGCAAUUGCUUCACUAGUAGAUGGACCUGCGUUGUAUUAGCUAGUUGGUGAGGUAACGGCUCACCAAGGCAACGAUACAUAGCCGACCUGAGAGGGUGAUCGGCCACACUGGGACUGAGACACGGCCCAGACUCCUACGGGAGGCAGCAGUAGGGAAUCUUCGGCAAUGGGGGCAACCCUGACCGAGCAACGCCGCGUGAGUGAAGA